rnacentral:rRNA from 1 species
GGUUAAGCGACUAAGCGUACACGGUGGAUGCCCUGGCAGUCAGAGGCGAUGAAGGACGUGCUAAUCUGCGAUAAGCGUCGGUAAGGUGAUAUGAACCGUUAUAACCGGCGAUUUCCGAAUGGGGAAACCCAGUGUGUUUCGACACACUAUCAUUAACUGAAUCCAUAGGUUAAUGAGGCGAACCGGGGGAACUGAAACAUCUAAGUACCCCGAGGAAAAGAAAUCAACCGAGAUUCCCCCAGUAGCGGCGAGCGAACGGGGAGCAGCCCAGAGCCUGAAUCAGUGUGUGUGUUAGUGGAAGCGUCUGGAAAGGCGCGCGAUACAGGGUGACAGCCCCGUACACAAAAAUGCACAUGCUGUGAGCUCGAUGAGUAGGGCGGGACACGUGGUAUCCUGUCUGAAUAUGGGGGGACCAUCCUCCAAGGCUAAAUACUCCUGACUGACCGAUAGUGAACCAGUACCGUGAGGGAAAGGCGAAAAGAACCCCGGCGAGGGGAGUGAAAAAGAACCUGAAACCGUGUACGUACAAGCAGUGGGAGCACGCUUAGGCGUGUGACUGCGUACCUUUUGUAUAAUGGGUCAGCGACUUAUAUUCUGUAGCAAGGUUAACCGAAUAGGGGAGCCGAAGGGAAACCGAGUCUUAACUGGGCGUUAAGUUGCAGGGUAUAGACCCGAAACCCGGUGAUCUAGCCAUGGGCAGGUUGAAGGUUGGGUAACACUAACUGGAGGACCGAACCGACUAAUGUUGAAAAAUUAGCGGAUGACUUGUGGCUGGGGGUGAAAGGCCAAUCAAACCGGGAGAUAGCUGGUUCUCCCCGAAAGCUAUUUAGGUAGCGCCUCGUGAAUUCAUCUCCGGGGGUAGAGCACUGUUUCGGCAAGGGGGUCAUCCCGACUUACCAACCCGAUGCAAACUGCGAAUACCGGAGAAUGUUAUCACGGGAGACACACGGCGGGUGCUAACGUCCGUCGUGAAGAGGGAAACAACCCAGACCGCCAGCUAAGGUCCCAAAGUCAUGGUUAAGUGGGAAACGAUGUGGGAAGGCCCAGACAGCCAGGAUGUUGGCUUAGAAGCAGCCAUCAUUUAAAGAAAGCGUAAUAGCUCACUGGUCGAGUCGGCCUGCGCGGAAGAUGUAACGGGGCUAAACCAUGCACCGAAGCUGCGGCAGCGACGCUUAUGCGUUGUUGGGUAGGGGAGCGUUCUGUAAGCCUGCGAAGGUGUGCUGUGAGGCAUGCUGGAGGUAUCAGAAGUGCGAAUGCUGACAUAAGUAACGAUAAAGCGGGUGAAAAGCCCGCUCGCCGGAAGACCAAGGGUUCCUGUCCAACGUUAAUCGGGGCAGGGUGAGUCGACCCCUAAGGCGAGGCCGAAAGGCGUAGUCGAUGGGAAACAGGUUAAUAUUCCUGUACUUGGUGUUACUGCGAAGGGGGACGGAGAAGGCUAUGUUGGCCGGGCGACGGUUGUCCCGGUUUAAGCGUGUAGGCUGGUUUUCCAGGCAAAUCCGGAAAAUCAAGGCUGAGGCGUGAUGACGAGGCACUACGGUGCUGAAGCAACAAAUGCCCUGCUUCCAGGAAAGCCUCUAAGCAUCAGGUAACAUCAAAUCGUACCCCAAACCGACACAGGUGGUCAGGUAGAGAAUACCAAGGCGCUUGAGAGAACUCGGGUGAAGGAACUAGGCAAAAUGGUGCCGUAACUUCGGGAGAAGGCACGCUGAUAUGUAGGUGAAGUCCCUUGCGGAUGGAGCUGAAAUCAGUCGAAGAUACCAGCUGGCUGCAACUGUUUAUUAAAAACACAGCACUGUGCAAACACGAAAGUGGACGUAUACGGUGUGACGCCUGCCCGGUGCCGGAAGGUUAAUUGAUGGGGUCAGCGCAAGCGAAGCUCUUGAUCGAAGCCCCGGUAAACGGCGGCCGUAACUAUAACGGUCCUAAGGUAGCGAAAUUCCUUGUCGGGUAAGUUCCGACCUGCACGAAUGGCGUAAUGAUGGCCAGGCUGUCUCCACCCGAGACUCAGUGAAAUUGAACUCGCUGUGAAGAUGCAGUGUACCCGCGGCAAGACGGAAAGACCCCGUGAACCUUUACUAUAGCUUGACACUGAACAUUGAGCCUUGAUGUGUAGGAUAGGUGGGAGGCUUGGAAGUGUGGACGCCAGUCUGCAUGGAGCCGACCUUGAAAUACCACCCUUUAAUGUUUGAUGUUCUAACGUUGACCCGUAAUCCGGGUUGCGGACAGUGUCUGGUGGGUAGUUUGACUGGGGCGGUCUCCUCCUAAAGAGUAACGGAGGAGCACGAAGGUUGGCUAAUCCUGGUCGGACAUCAGGAGGUUAGUGCAAUGGCAUAAGCCAGCUUGACUGCGAGCGUGACGGCGCGAGCAGGUGCGAAAGCAGGUCAUAGUGAUCCGGUGGUUCUGAAUGGAAGGGCCAUCGCUCAACGGAUAAAAGGUACUCCGGGGAUAACAGGCUGAUACCGCCCAAGAGUUCAUAUCGACGGCGGUGUUUGGCACCUCGAUGUCGGCUCAUCACAUCCUGGGGCUGAAGUAGGUCCCAAGGGUAUGGCUGUUCGCCAUUUAAAGUGGUACGCGAGCUGGGUUUAGAACGUCGUGAGACAGUUCGGUCCCUAUCUGCCGUGGGCGCUGGAGAACUGAGGGGGGCUGCUCCUAGUACGAGAGGACCGGAGUGGACGCAUCACUGGUGUUCGGGUUGUCAUGCCAAUGGCACUGCCCGGUAGCUAAAUGCGGAAGAGAUAAGUGCUGAAAGCAUCUAAGCACGAAACUUGCCCCGAGAUGAGUUCUCCCUGACUCCUUGAGAGUCCUGAAGGAACGUUGAAGACGACGACGUUGAUAGGCCGGGUGUGUAAGCGCAGCGAUGCGUUGAGCUAACCGGUACUAAUGAACCGUGAGGCUUAACCUU